rnacentral:rRNA from 1 species
UACGAAGGGGGCUAGCGUUGCUCGGAAUUAUUGGGCGUAAAGCGCACGUAGGCGGCUUAGCAAGUCGGAAGUGAAAUCCCUCGGCUCAACCAAGGAAGUGCUUUCGAAACUGCUGAGCUUGAGUACUUAAGAGGAUCGCGGAAUUCCCGGUGUAGAGGUGAAAUUCGUAGAUAUCAGGAGGAACACCGGUGGCGAAGGCGG